AGAAUCAACGCUGGCGGCGUGCCUAACACAUGCAAGUCGCACGAGAAAGGGGCUUCGGCUCUGAGUAAAGUGGCGCACGGGUGAGUAACACGUGAAUAAUCUACCUCCGAGUGGGGAAUAACUGAGAGAAAUCUUAGCUAAUACCGCAUAACACUUACGAGUCAAAGCAGCAAUGCGCUUGGAGAGGAGUUCGCGGCCGAUUAGUUAGUUGGCGGGGUAAUGGCCCACCAAGACGAUGAUCGGUAUCCGGCCUGAGAGGGCGCGACGGACGACGACUGGAACUGAAACACGGUCCAGACUCCUACGGGAGGCAGCAGUGGGGAAUUUUGCGCAAUGGGGGAAACCCUGACGCAGCAACGCCGCGUGGAGGAUGAAAUAUCUUGGUAUGUAAACUCCUUUCGAUGGGAAGAUUAUGACGGUACCAUAGAAGAAGCCCGGCUAACUCGUGCCAGCAGCCGC
rnacentral:rRNA from 1 species